rnacentral:rRNA from 1 species
ACUCCUACGGGAGGCAGCAGUGGGGAAUAUUGCACAAUGGGGGAAACCCUGAUGCAGCCAUGCCGCGUGUGUGAAGAAGGCCUUCGGUUGUAAGCACUUUCAGUAGGGAGGAAGGUAGUGUAGUUAACACCUGCAUUAUUUUGACGUUACCUACAGAAGAAGCACCGGCUAACUCCGUGCCAGCAGCCGCGGUAAUACGGAGGGUGCGAGCGUUAAUCGGAAUUACUGGGCGUAAAGCGCAUGCAGGCGGCCUGUUAAGUCAGAUGUGAAAGCCCGGGGCUUAACCUCGGAAUUGCAUUUGUAAACUGGCAGGCUAGAGUCUUGUAGAGGGGGUAGGAAGUUUCAGGUGUAGCGGUGAAAUGCGUAGAGAUCUG